CUCUUACACACUGGCGGGCCCACCAGCAGUGCCACUCAGUCAGCGAGUCGGGGGUGGAAUCUAACUGACACCUGCCCUAGUUCUAACAAACUCCCAGGCAAUACUCAUGCAGGUGCUGCCAGUCAGGCAGCCAGAUUUUUAGAGUGCUUACCUAAACUAUUUCACCUGUUUUCCCAGGUCACCUGAGCAGAUGGGUCCCGUGAAGGACACACACAGAAAAAGGGGCAAACGGGCGGGCUCAGGAUCGAGCACAGAAUCCUGCCUAGGAGAGAAACGUGGAAAGAGAUUCCACAGGAAAACACAGAUUUAUCUACCAUCCAAUUAUAAAACAGAAGUGCGGCAAGGCGGGUGGAAAUGGUCUUGGUGCCUGCCACUAGCCAGAGUGUGAACCUCUCCCCUUUGAACAGCAUUUGAAUAAAAGCUGUGCUCAUUUUUGGAGCACAAGGUCAAAUUAGAGAAGAUGGAUGUGAAGAUUUCUCUGAACAAAAGGCUAAGAAGUAAAGGGAGCCCGUGUUCUGUAUCAAAGUGCCUGAGAAAGACAUACUACUGAUUUCAUUACUACAGAUUCUUCCACUUCCCUCUAUCACUCAGUGUGGGAUGGGCCGAACGUAAAAAGAUGCGGUAUCUGAAUCCUAUCAGAAGUUCCUAGGGAUGGGAAGAAGAACCUUUCUUUGGAUAUAGAAUGCAGUAUCCUAAUUAGUUCGAGGGAACAGUGAGGACAUCCUCGAGAAAGCCAAUUCGUAUCCAACGCAGAAUUCAAUCUGUUGUAAUGGAUAUGAUACUGGUUUAGGAAGGGGGUGAUAAAGAGACUUGGAUUUCUACCUUAGUUGUAAAUACCUCAUUUAUUCUUUCCUAGCCUUAGUUGUAAAUACCUCAUUUAUUCUUUCUCUUAUUCACUGUCUAUUGGACUCCUAUGAUGGGACAAGUAUCGGGAAAGCCAUGAGUCAGGAUGUCAUAUUUGCCAUGCCCCUCUCUCCAUGGAGCCCCGGGGCCUGGAACAAGUGCCCUUCUUUAUGUGUUCGUUUCUUGGUCAGUAAUAUGAAACUAGAAAACUGAGUUUCCCUGAAGAAUCCCAUUCAACUCAACCAAUGUCUACCCAGCCCUUAGCUUGAUGGCAGCCAGUGUGUUUGAGGCUAGAUAGCUGGAGAGAAAAAAAGGAAUCUAAUGGUGAAUGAGAUGGGACCCCCUACCUUAGAAAAAGUGCGGUAAGCCAGGGAAGGCAGAUGUGUAAAUGACUGAGAUCAGCAUUCAGCAGAGGCACAGGCCUCAAGCAAAGGAGGGAUUUCCCUGAGUGCUGUGCAAGAGCAGGAAGAAACCCCAAAGAGUGAUGUGCCCCAUUUACCCUGGCCUUGAAGGAAGAAUGACUCCUCCAGUAAAGAACCGAGGAAGAACAGUCCAGGCUGAGUGUACAGAGUGAGCAAAGGGCAAAAAAAGGUCCAGAGCAUGAAAGUGCUAGACCCUUAAGAAGUAUAGUCCUCCCCAGUCAUACCACUCCCGGCUCCAUUUCAUUCAUCCUAGACCCGGGAACUCAAACAUGCAGCUCAGAGGGGAGUCAGGAAACAGCUGGACUCAAAGAGCCAUCAGAACAAUUCAGAUAAGUCAACAAUUGGGAACAAUAAUAUUGGCAUGGGUCAAGGGUGGUAACAGAGAGCAAGUCAUCUGAAGGGGACAGCACUAUUCAGCUUGGCUUGAUUGUUGCCUCCCAGGAAAGUCACAGAAGCCAGAUCUUGGAGAUUUUUCAGAGAAGCUAGAAAUACAUAUAUAUAUACACACACACACACACAUAUAUAUACACACACAUACAUAUAUAUACACACACACACAAAUAUAUAUAUACACAUAUAUAAAUGUGUAUAUACACACACAUAUAUAAUAUGUAUUAGAGUGAGAGAGAAAGGAUAAAUAACUUACACGAGGCCAAGAUUUGGUAGAGAAUCUGGGUUUAAAUCCUGGGGUUUUGUUUUGUUGUGUUUUGUUUUAUUUUGUGUUUUGUUUUGAGAAAGGGUCUUGCUCUGUCACCCAGGCAGGAGUGCAGUGGCAUGAUGUCAGCUCCCUGCAGCCUCGACCUCCUGGGCUCAAGUGAUCCUCCCACUUCAGCCUCCUAACUGGAACUACAGGUGCGUGCCACAACACCUUGCUAAUUUUUGUAUUUUUUUGUAGAGAGAGGGGUCUUGCUAUGCUACUUAGGCUGGUCUUUAACUCCUGGGCUCAAGUGAUCCUCCUGCUCAGGCUUCCCAAUGUGAUAGGAUUAUAAGGAUGAGACACUGCACCAAAACUGAGUUCAAAUCUUGAACUGUCAGAUUCUAAAGUUGAGCUUCUGGAAUGGCUGGGUAGGAAACAUGGAGAUUAUUCAGGCUGUGGAGGUGGAAGUUCUGGAAGGAAGAGGAACAGAAGCCAGGAAGGCACAAACAGGGAAGGCCAGUAAUCUAGGGAUAAGACAUCCUAGCAGAAGAAUCUUUUCUAAUGAUUAGAAAAGUCAGAAUACACACAGGCACUGACAUCUGAAGAGUGGCAAGAGGAAUUGGCAAGAUUUAAAAGAUUUAAAACACUAGAGCUUUGGCACCAAAAGCAGCCAGAAAAUAGAAAAAGGCAAAAAUACUUGGAGCCACCCCAACUGUUGAUAUUAAAUUCUAAUGGAUUAGGACUCAAAAAUGGCUUCAAAUAAUAAAAUGAAAAUUUUUUACCAAUUAAAGAAAAAUACCAACCUGCCCAAAAUAAAUCUGAAAUGAGACGCUGAAUCCUAGACUCCCCAGCCUUUCCUACCAGUCACAAUUUCUUUCGAUCAAUAAUUGAAACAUCCUCCAGGCAUAUUAAAGAACCCAGAAGUCACGCUUUGCCCUGCAGGGCGCCACAGGUGAACAUUUGCAUAUGUCAAAGUAAAGGGCAUUUCCACCAGCCUCCCUUGCUCUCCAGAGAGAACCCCGGGGCCUUGCAAGUCUCGGCAGAUUUCCCUGACCUUGCGUGCCAAGGCAGAAGGUGAGAUGGCAAACAGAUGCGCGCUUCCGCUGAGUGCGUGCAUUUGUGUGCGUGCAUGUGUGUGUGUGCGUGCGUGUGUGUGUGCGUGCAUGCAUGUGUGUGUGUGCGUGCAUGUGUAUGCGUGCGUGUGUGCGUGUGAGUGCACAUGUGUGUGCAGGUGUCUGUGACUGCUGCUGUGGUGGGGGAACCGUGGGGAGAAGAGAAAGAAAGGGAGUGUUAAGAGAAAGGAAAAUGAAGGGAUGUUUAGAUUUAAGCGUAACCUUUCAAUUACAUUUAUUUUAGCUAACGCCGUCUAGCUAUUGAAUGACACAGCUAUUCUUGGGUUCCAUCUUAAGACUUUUUUUUUUAAUUGAAAAUGUAGCCGAGCGCGGUGGCUCACGCCUGUGAGCCCAGCACUUCGGGAGGCCGAGGCAGGCAGAUCAAGAGGUCAGGAGAUCGAGACCAUCCUGGCUAACAUGGUGAAACCCCGUCUCUACUAAAAAUACAAAAAUCAGCUGGGCGUGGUGGCGGGGGCCUGUAGUCCCAGCUACUCGGGAGGCUGAGGCAGGAGAAUGGUGUGAACCCAGUGAGUGGAGACCCCGCCACUGCACUCCAGCAUGGGCAACAGAGCGAGACUCCCUCUCAAAAAAGAAAAAAGGAAGAAAAUGCAUAUUCUUUUUAAGAAUCAAGGAAAAGCCAUUCAGAUGCAUGGUAUAAUGCCAUUAAGGCUAAAGACGCAGCAGGAUCCACGUUAUUGGGUAUGAAUGUGCCCAUGAAAACCUUGUCCUUGUGAAGCCUUUACAAUAAUUAUACACAGCCUUAGUGAUUUCAAUGGAAAUGACACUCUGAGGGGUUCUUGGGGAAGAUUCACAAAAGCCACAUAGCAAAUCUCUUUGACUCAGUCUGGUAAACAUCAGGUAGUAAGGGGCUUUCUUGGCUUGAUUCAUGAGAAACAACAUGGAAAA
rnacentral:lncRNA from 1 species